rnacentral:rRNA from 1 species
AUGAUGCAAUUGAAAAUUAUCCAGCAAAUAAUUCAUAAGAUAUUGAAACCAAGUCAUUGUUCUGGCACAUGGAUAGCUAACUUUCACACACCCCUGUCCAUGGCUAAAUCUUUGGUGAUAUUCCAGUCCUUUAUAUCUCCGAUCUCUCUUUACGGACCCCUUCCAUGUCAAGUUUGGUCUACCCUGAUCUCUCAUCCCAACUCUAUCAAGUAUAUCAUCAUUUUGAACCCGAAUCUUCUUGUGUGGCCACAUAUCAAUGUUAACAUGCGCAUCCCUGCUACACCUAGCUGUUGGACAUGCCGCCUUUUAGUUGGCCACUAUUCAACGCUAGACAACCAUCGCAGGUUGAACCGCCAUCCUAUAAACCUGCCUUUUAACUUGUGUGGCUCUCUUAUCACAGAGAACUCCAGAAGUUUGGCACCACUUCAUCCAUCCAGCUUUUAUUUGAUGGCUCACAUCUUCAUUAAUAUCACCAUCCUUCUACAACCUUGA